GCUGAAUCCUCUGUGGGGGCUGUCAACCUGGGCAUCCAGGUUUUCUUCCACCUCAUCUCUCUGUGUGGCUGGAGUUUUUCAAAGCAUAUCCCCAGUGGGAAAAUUCCAAGUGCAAGCAUCCAAGAGGAAGGGAGUGGAAGUUCCAAUCUCCUAAGGUCUAGACUUAGAAGUCUCAAAAUUUCACAUCUGUCACAUUUCACUACUCAAAGUCAUCACAGGACCAACUCAGAUUCAAGAGGAGGAAUAGCCCUUCUUUUGAUGUCAGGUCAGAUGCAACCCUGGAUAUACUGAAUGACUGAGAUGAACAGAAUUCCAAACAGAAACAGAAACUGGAUCCAGAUGGCUGGAGAGCCCUGGCGGAGAGAAGAGCCAGCAACUGUGGAGCCAAAGAGAAACAGCGGCCAGGGAAGCACAAGAAAAAAUCACUGAAUUGCA